rnacentral:rRNA from 1 species
GUCUACGGCCAUACCACCCUGAACGUGCCCGAUCUCAUCUGAUCUCGGAAGCUAAGCAGGGUCGGGCCUGGUUAGUACUUGGAUGGGAAAACUUGCUAUUUAAC